UUAUUGAAGGAAGUGACUGCAGAUGUGAUGGAAACAGCCAGAGAACUAGAAUGAGAAGUGGCGCCUGAAGAUGUGACUGAAUUGCUGCAGCCUCAUGUUAAAACUUGAACAGACGAGGAGAGGCUUCUUAUGAGUGAGCAAAGAAAGUGGUUUCUUAAGAUGGAAUUUCCUCUGGUGAAGAUGCUGUGAACAUUGU